AGAACACAUACAUGGUGCACAGAACACACACAGUGCACAGAACACAGUGCACAGGAGAACACUCACAGUGCACAGGAGAACACGCACACGGUGCACAGGAGAACACGCACACAUGUUGCACAGGAGAAUUCACACACAGUGCACAGGAGAACACACAGUGCACAGGAGAACACAUGGUGCACAGGAGAACACGCACACACGGUGCACAGGAGAACACACACAGUGCACAGGAGAACACGCACAGUGCACAGGAGAACACAGAGUGCACAGGAGAACACAUGGUGCACAGGAGAACACGCACACACGGUGCACAGAACACACACAGUGCACAGGAGAACACGCACAGUGCACAGGAGAACACGGUGCACCGGAGAACCACACUGCACAGGAGAAUAUGCAUAAACAGUUCACAGGAGAACACGCACACACAGUGCAUAGAGCACAGACACAGUGCACAGGAGAACCACACAAUGUACAGGAGAAUACGCACACACAGUGCACAGGAGAACAUACACGCAGUACACAGACACAGUGCACCGGAGAACACAGUGCACAGGAGAACACGCACACACAGUGCACAGAACACAGACACAGUGCACAGGAGAACACACAGUGCACAGGAGAACACAGUGCACAGGAGAAUACACACGGUGCACAGGAGAAUUCACACACAAUGCACAGGAGAACACAGUGCACAGGAGAACACACACACACACUGCACAGGAGACCAUGCACAGUGCACAGGAGAAUACACAUGGUGCACAGCAGAAUUCACACAGUGCACAGGAGAACACACACAGUGCACAGAAUUCAUGCACACAGUGCACAGGAGAACACACACAGUGCACAGGAGAACACAGUGCACAGGAGAACACACACUGCACAGAACAAAUGCACAGCACACAGGAGAACAUGCACACACAGUGCACAGGAGAACACAGUGCACAGGAGAACACACAGUGCACAGGAGAGAACACACAGUGCACAGAACACACAGGGCACAGGAGAACACACAGUGCACAGGAGAACACUGCACAGAACACACGGUGAUCAGAACACACAGUGCACAGGAGAACACACAGUGCACAGAACACACGGGGCACAGGAGAACACACGAUGCACGGAACACGGUGAUCAGAACACGGUUCACAGGAGAACACACAGUGCACAGAACACACGGGGCACAGGAGAACACACAGUGCACAGAACACACAGUGCACAGAACACACGGUGCACAGGAGAACACAUGGUGCACAGGAGAACACACGGUGUACAGAACACACGGUGCACAGGAGAACACGCAGUGCACAGGAGAACAUGCAAUGCACGGGAGAACACAGUGCAGAGAACACACACGCACUGCACAGAACAUGCAGUGGUGCACAGGAGAACAGUACACAACAACACAUUCCAUGCACAGGAGAACACACGCAAUUCACAGGACACAACAGAACACACGCAGUGCACAGGACACAACAGAACACACGUGCACAGGAGAACACAGUACACACACAGCGCACUGGAGAACACGCACAGUGCACAGGAGAACAGAGUGCACAGAACACAGUCCACAGGACAGCACACGGUACACAGCAGAACACCCGCAGUGCACAGGAGAACCUAGUGCACAGAACACACACCCUGUGCACAGUUUUGUUUUGUUUUGCUUUUGCAAUUCCAGGGAGCUCCCUGGCCUCCCACAGCCAUUCAUAGAGCCCAUUCUGUUUGCGAUAAAAACAGAUCUCCUCCAGCUCACGUGAGGCUAGGCACGGGUUCCUCAAAACCUUUUUGGGCAGCUAGCAGCUUUGACUAGCAGCUCAUCUCACCAGGCUGAGGUCGCUGCCUGUGAACAGUUGACAGACCUAAAGCCAGCCAGAAUGUUCUGUGUCAGAGAGCCCUGUCCAAUGGGCAGAGCUGGGAGACACGCAGGAAGACCCCCAGCCCAUGCCCGUUCUCAGGCCUGAGGUUCAUUCUCGUUCUCUCCCUCUUCCCUUUCCCCUUCCUCCCUCCUGCCCUCGAAUCUGCAAGGUCUCUCCGGGUGGCUGUGUUCUGCCAGGGCCUCCC
rnacentral:lncRNA from 1 species